rnacentral:rRNA from 1 species
AACGAACGCUGGCGGCAUGCCUAACACAUGCAAGUCGAACGAGACCUUCGGGCUUAGUGGCGCACGGGUGCGUAACGCGUGGGAACCUGCCCUUAGGUUCGGAAUAAUUCCCCGAAAGGGGUGCUAAUACCGGUUAAUGUCUUCGGACCUAAGAGUUAUUGCGUUGGGAUGGGCCCGCGUUGGAUUAGCUAGUUGGUAGGGUAAUAGCCUACCAAGGCGACGAUCCAUAGCUGGUCUGAGAGGAUGAUCAGCCACACUGGGACUGAGACGCGGCCCAGAAUCCUACGGGAGGGAGCAGUGGGGAAUAUUGGACCAUGGGCGAAAGCCUGAUCCAGCAAUGCCGGGUAAGUGAUGAAGGGCUUAGGGUUGUAAAGCUCUUUUACCCGGGAUGAUAGUGACAGUACCGGGAGAAUAAGCACCGGCUAACUACGUG